GUGCGCAUAAAAGGGGAAUGUCGAUACGGGUGGGCAAUUUCGUAGGCUUCGUUAUGGCCGUAGGAGUUGUCUAUAUUCUCUACCGAGUACUUUGGUUGGUCAGCCAGCCGGUCUGCUGAAGGCAUUUCCAGGUGUCCAUAUGGCCUGGAUGGAGUGUCCUCCAACUGGUAGCCAUGAAACGGCCUGCCCGGCGACGGGAUGCGAUUGGGGUCCGGCCGAUUUGGAUUCAUUCCGAGAUCAUGAGGAUCAUCGUCCUGCGAAGGGUCUUAGAAUAGAGCGAUUGUCAGCUUCGGGUACU
rnacentral:sRNA from 1 species